rnacentral:rRNA from 1 species
GCUCAGGACGAACGCUGGCUGCGUGCUUAACACAUGCAAGUCGAACGCUGAAGCCUACAGCUUGCUGUGGGUGGAUGAGUGGCGAACGGGUGAGUAACACGUGAGUAACCUGCCCCCGAUUUCGGGAUAAGCCCGGGAAACUGGGUCUAAUACCGGAUAUGACCAGAGGACGCAUGUUCUCUGGUGGAAAGUUUUUCGAUCGGGGAUGGGCUCGCGGCCUAUCAGCUUGUUGGUGGGGUAAUGGCCUACCAAGGCGACGACGGGUAGCCGGCCUGAGAGGGCGACCGGCCACACUGGGACUGAGACACGGCCCAGACUCCUACGGGAGGCAGCAGUGGGGAAUAUUGCACAAUGGGGGAAACCCUGAUGCAGCGACGCAGCGUGCGGGAUGACGGCCUUCGGGUUGUAAACCGCUUUCAGCAGGGAAGAAGCGAAAGUGACGGUACCUGCAGAAGAAGUACCGGCUAACUACGUGCCAGCAGCCGCGGUAAUACGUAGGGUACGAGCGUUGUCCGGAAUUAUUGGGCGUAAAGAGCUCGUAGGUGGUUGGUCACGUCUGCUGUGGAAACGCAACGCUUAACGUUGCGCGGGCAGUGGGUACGGGCUGACUAGAGUGCAGUAGGGGAGUCUGGAAUUCCUGGUGUAGCGGUGAAAUGCGCAGAUAUCAGGAGGAACACCGGUGGCGAAGGCGGGACUCUGGGCUGUAACUGACACUGAGGAGCGAAAGCAUGGGGAGCGAACAGGAUUAGAUACCCUGGUAGUCCAUGCCGUAAACGUUGGGCACUAGGUGUGGGGGACAUUCCACGUUCUCCGCGCCGUAGCUAACGCAUUAAGUGCCCCGC